GAGUAAUUUUCUUGAUCUAAAACACAUCAAACAAGUUGCAAUUAAACUACUUUUAAAUGUGAUUCUCACUCUCUUUUAUUCCUCCUAUCCUUUUUUUUCUUUCCUUCUUCCCCAUCACCAUUCCUGCAUUUUUCUCUCUCUUGUGUUAGCUUUGCUUGAAUAUGGCUACAGAAAAUCCAAAGCCGGUAGAACCUCCAGUAGACAAACGCGAAUUCAUAAUACGCUUCCAAGAA
rnacentral:lncRNA from 1 species